rnacentral:rRNA from 1 species
AUGCGACUAGUUCUUAUUACGAUGAAGGUUUGUGCCGUGAAAGAUCGGGCCAACAAUGGAUUGACCCUCGUCUCGAGGUUCGCUCCCCAUCAAGUGGUAUCAGUGCCCGGCAUUUCUCAUGGCACUUCGGAGGUGACGCCCGACGUGCCGUCACCAAGGAGCUACUGGAGGCUCUCCGAUGAUUUUUUGCUGGAGGAGAAGGGUUAUAGUGCUGACCUUUUUCACACCUAUUGUAAAGUGGGAGAGAAAGUUUGGGCCACGAUGAUAGACCACGACAGUUUGAUCAACGCUGUCCGCGUCGACAUGGUGGACAAGCUGCAUCUAUCGAUGACACCACAUCCACGACCGUACUCACUGAGGAGGUGCUACGACAAGCUCGCCAUCAUGCACCAAACUAUUGUACUGUUUUCUAUCGGCAAAUUUUCUUGUGAGGUUUUGUGCGACAUUAUACCGGUACCGAUGGAUUCGUGUCAUAUGCUUUUGGGAGAGCCAUGGUAUAGGAAAAAUAAUGCUGCAUACGAUUAUCUCGCCAACACAUACACUGUUGAAUGGGAUAGAAAAUAUGUUCUCAUGGCGAUGGAGAAUAAGUUGUUCAGGACUUGGAGAAAAGAACGUCUGCAGAAGAUGAAAGAGAAACAAGAACCAAAGACAGUGAGGACAGUUACUGAAUUUUCUUCGGUGCACAUUCAGCCGGCAGAAAAAGUUGUUGCUGAAGAGACUGACUUGAAACCGAGGACGGUUUCGCUUGAAGGGAGGGAGGACGAUACGGCCAGUCCUAGCUCCGAUCUUGUUGAUGUUGCAGUUGCUCGAGGAUUUAAAGGUAUGCAAGUUGGUUCGGCCACUACUACCUAUCAUAUGCUUAACAUGGACCAAGGGGCGCAUGCAUAUGCUAGUACAUGCACGGACAAUGCCAAAGCAUUAGCUGGUUCAGCUCUAAACACAUCACGUUCAGAUCUUGUUCGGAGCUAUGAUAAAAUAAGAGAUACAAUUGAUUUGUUUGAGUUGCCAAGGCCGCCGGAAGUAAGUCCUGAUUCAGUUUGGACAAGUAUAGAUGAUUUUAUGUGGGACUCUAAUUGGAGAGAUAGAGGUACCACUCGCGGGUUUAAAAGGAAAAGUGCAGACAAGAUUCUUCUUUAUAUUUCUGCCAUGCAAAGAGAAGUACGGCCAUCCAUUAUCUAG